rnacentral:ribozyme from 2 species
CCAAUAACUUCACCUGUAGCUCCUCAAGGGCUACCGCCGGUCCCAAGCCCGGGUAAAGGAGGAGGGCUGG